rnacentral:rRNA from 1 species
GAUGAACGCUGGCGGCGUGCUUAACACAUGCAAGUCGAACGAUGAAGCCCAGCCUGCUGGGCGGAUUAGUGGCGAACGGGUGAGUAACACGUGAGUAACCUGCCCUUGACUCUGGGAUAAGCCCGGGAAACUGGGUCUAAUACCGGAUAGGAGCGCCUGUCGCAUGACGGGUGCUGGAAAGAUUUUUCGGUCAUGGAUGGACUCGCGGCCUAUCAGCUUGUUGGUGAGGUAACGGCUCACCAAGGCGACGACGGGUAGCCGGCCUGAGAGGGUGACCGGCCACACUGGGACUGAGACACGGCCCAGACUCCUACGGGAGGCAGCAGUGGGGAAUAUUGCACAAUGGGCGGAAGCCUGAUGCAGCGACGCCGCGUGAGGGAUGACGGCCUUCGGGUUGUAAACCUCUUUCAGUAG